UUUCCAGUUUGGAAACAUCUGGGCAGGCCCAGCUGGUAAGUUUACUUUUCUACUUUGAACAAGCAAACAAGCCAACAGAAGAGAAGUUUCACAAGCAACUCCCAUCACAUCCGCUCACCUUCUGAUGUCUGUGACCUCACUCUCGGUGCCCCACCUCUUAUUACAAAUUGAACAGGGUCCAGGGGGAAGGACCAAGCCUGUCCCAUUGGCCAUCCUGUGUGUCAUGUCCUGGGACCCAGUGGAUGCUCAGCACCUGAAGAAGAAGAUUGUCUUAGACAUAUGAAAGGUGAGGACGCCUACUGUCCCCUCGGAACCCAGGUGGGGCUGGGAGUCUGCUGUUUGUAUAGCCGGUGGUCUCAUGUUGCUUUGGGCAUCCCUGUGCCUGAAUUCCUGCAAUACACUCGGUGCCUGUUUCCUAAUCUGCAAAACUGGAAUGAUGUUAACCAUCCCGCAGGGUCGUUGAUGGGCUGGGACAGACUAGACAGUCAGGAGCUGGAAUUCCUCUGUCCCCUGAUUGUUUGCCUU